UUUUAAUCAUCCCAAUUUUUUUGUCUUACCACAGUUAAGAAAUACGAUUCAUGUUUGCUAUUGCAUUUGGAGCUCCAUCCUUACAACUUAUGGAUAAUAUGAAUACAUCAAGGUGUUUUGGUUCUCCCCAUUCUGUAUGUUCGCAAUGGAGUGUAUAUAUUGUUGAUUUAUGUCAUGGUGAUUGAAUUUGAUUGCAGAGAGAAAGUGCAAAAGCUAUGGGCAAUCCUAUAUGACUGGCGCCAUCAGUAAGGAUUUAUUUAAAGCUAGCUUACUUUUGGGUCUAAGCCAAGUUUAUUUCUUUCGCAGAUUUAUUCACCUUAUUGGGACGGUGGGGUUAAUAUAUAUACAUCAACUUUGAGCAUCAGCAACGCAUGAAGCUUGCUUCUGAGGCUGCAACAUACUUUGCAAUCCCCCUGUGAAACAUACUUUUGUCACUAUGCACAUAUGAGGUUGUUGAAGGGAGAUGGGGCUCUUCAGGCCCCUUUGGUGCAAAAGCACAAGCAACAGCAUCUACAGCUGACCACUCAUAGCCUAGGAUGUCCUGCAGAUUUGAUCUAUUUUGGAUAGAGUACAUGGAAUCAAACCACAGGAUACCCAAGCAGUGCGUACAAAUUGUAGUGGUGCUUGUAGCUUAUCAUCAAUCUGCCAUUAUUAUUUGUAUGUUGAAUGGGCGCUUUAUAUUUUAGGGCGGAAGACUGAAGCAAAGAAAACUGCGGCUCUUUAGUAUAUCUUCAGAUUUGCGGCUCUUUGAGCUGUGGUACAUUUGAUUCGAGACCCAGAUGAGGUUGGUUUUACGUUUCUUAUUGGAAGAGUGAGAUGCCCAGGACAGAAUCCAGUUUGUAUCAACGCCUCAUUGAAUAGAAUCAUGUAGAUUCUGCUUCUUCAUAAAGAAAUAGUUUUAAGGGAGGACUUCAAAGAGUAUUUUGCCAAAUUUGGUAAAGUGCGGGGAUGGAGGGCAGUCAGCAUCCACCUCGAGGCAGAGGGGUGGGCAGAAGGACGGUCGGUGUUCAACUCUCUACGGUUCAAAACCAAGUCCAUCCAAGCCUCAAAGUAUAAAGAAGGCGCCUAGACACUCGAUGGGUGGUGUAAACCGUAGGGUGUCCAUUGGUGGAGCCACGAUGCAAGCAUCCAAAACAGACAUAUUGUAUACGAAGAAUGUUCAUGCUGCCAAGAGAAGUGAAGACAUUGCCCAUUUGUCCCCUGGGUGGGCGUGUAACUAGAAAACAAAACACUAUGGCGGCAAAUGAGACUAUCGAACCGAACUGAUUGUACUGAAAACUAGGACCUAAACUUGUGCUACUGGCCAACCUUUUCUUCAGGGAAUGCCAAGAUAUUUGCCAAACAAAGCCAUAGGAUGGUGCUAUACACAGAGGACAACCUAUCAGGUGAGAAUCGAUUCGUGGCUCUUUCUCUUUUUUGAACUGGUCGUUAUGUGGUUCUUGGGGACUCGCACUCUGUUUUGUUUCUUUUUUUACCUCCUAUUUAUGGGCUCCCUUCUGUUAGGGAGUCCACUAAUGACCAGAUGGGUAUCUUGUCGCUCAUCUACAGCAAGUCGGGCUCCAGUGUGUUUGGGUCAGCGUCCACGCAGGAGCAGAUAACUGACGGCAUUUACGCUGCCGGGCUCACUAUCCUCAUCACACGUGACCACAACCCACCCAACCGACUGUUACAAUGGUCGUGGAGCUUCUUGGAUUAAACUUGCAAAGAGUAGUACUGGAAAGCUUCAUUUUCGUAAGAUGCUCUGGUAUUUCCGAGUAGAAGAAAGCAAAGCCAACAAGGGUCGUUAGAAAUUAUUAGUACUCUACAAAAUUUGUAACACAUCAUAUUAAUUGGGAACUCAAAUCUUGGUUGCAAAAAUUAGAUCUGUGCUAUAAAUGCAGGCAAUACAAAAGGCAGGAAGACCAUACGAAGACCAAUACAAAAAGGAGGAUGCAUGAGCUUCAGAUCUGAUUGAAUUUAGUCGGAAGAUGGAGACUUGAAGGAGGAAUUAGUGGAGAAUAGGAAGGU